AAAUAGAUACCCGGGUAGUCCACGCCGUAAACGAUGGAUACUAGCUGUUUGAGCGCAAGUUUGAGUGGCUAAGCGAAAGUGAUAAGUAUCCCACCUGGGGAGUACGGGCGCAAAGCCUGAAACUCAAAGGAAUUGACGGGGGCCCGCACAAGCGGUGGAGCAUGUGGUUUAAUUCGAUGAUACGCGAGGAACCUUACCAGGGCUUAAAUGUAGAUUGACGUAUUUGGAAACAGAUAUUUCUUCGGACAAUUUACAAGGUGCUGCAUGGUUGUCGUCAGCUCGUGCCGUGAGGUGUCAGGUUAAGUCCUAUAACGAGCGCAACCCCUGUUGUUAGUUGCCAGCGAGUAAUGUCGGGAACUCUAGCAAGACUGCCAGUGUAAACUGUGAGGAAGGUGGGGAUGACGUCAAAUCACCACGGCCCUUACGUCCUGGGCCACACACGUGCUACAAUGGCCGGUACAGAGAGCAGCCACUUAGCGAUAAGGAGCGAAUCUAUAAAGCCGGUCACAGUUCGGAUCGGAGUCUGCAACUC
rnacentral:rRNA from 1 species